rnacentral:rRNA from 1 species
GACGAACGCUGGCGGCGUGCCUAAUACAUGCAAGUUGAGCGCUGAAGGUUGGUACUUGUACCAACUGGAUGAGCAGCGAACGGGUGAGUAAUGCGUGGGGAAUCUGCCUUUGAGCGGGGGACAACAUUUGGAAACGAAUGCUAAUACCGCAUAAAAACUUUAAACACAAGUUUUAAGUUUGAAAGAUGCAUUGCAUCACUCAAAGAUGAUCCCGCGUUGUAUUAGCUAGUUGGUGAGGUAAAGGCUCACCAAGGCGAUGAUACAUAGCCGACCUGAGAGGGUGAUCGGCCACAUUGGGACUGAGACACGGCCCAAACUCCUACGGGAGGCAGCAGUAGGGAAUCUUCGGCAAUGGACGAAAGUCUGACCGAGCAACGCCGCGUGAGUGAAGAAGGUUUUCGGAUCGUAAAACUCGGUUGGUAGAGAAGAACGUUGGUGAGAGUGGAAAGCUCAUCAAGUGACGGUAACUACCCAGAAAGGGACGGCUAACUACGUG